rnacentral:rRNA from 1 species
CCUACGGGUGACAGCAGUGAGGCAUAUUGGUCAAUGGACGCAAGUCUGAACCAGCCAUGCCGCGUGCAGGAAGACGGCUCUAUGAGUUGUAAACUGCUUUUGUACGAGGGUAAACGCAGAUACGCGUAUCUGUCUGAAAGUAUCGUACGACUAAGUAUCGGCUAACUCCUUGCCAGCAGCCGCGGUAAUACGGAGGAUUCAAGCGUUAUCCGGAUUUAUUGGGUUUAAAGGGUGCGUAGGCGGUCGUAUAAGUUAGUGGGGAAAUCCCGAGGCUCAAAUUCGGAAUUGCCUCUGAUACUGUUCGGCUAGAGAGUAGUUGCGGUAGGCGGAAUGUAUGGUGUAGCGGUGAAAUGCUUAGAGAUCAUACAGAACACCGAUUGCGAAGGCAGCUUACCAAGCUACUUCUGACGUUGAGGCACGAAAGCGUGGGGAGCAAACAGGAUUAGAUACCCGUGUAGUC